rnacentral:rRNA from 1 species
GAUGAACGCUAGCGGCAGGCCUAAUACAUGCAAGUCGAACGGUCGUAGCAAUACGAUAGUGGCGCACGGGUGCGUAACGCGUAACCAACCUGCCCUUGACUGGGGGAUAGCCCGCCGAAAGGCGGAUUAAUACCGCAUAACACAGUGGCCCGGCAUCGGGUAAUUGUUAAAGAUUUAUUGGUCAAGGAUGGGGUUGCGUGCCAUUAGCUA